GUUGUGAAGACUAUAUUCAAAGGGUUAUUCCGCGUGUAUGUCAUAUAUAUCAUUCACAUUUUCAGAAGAUUGUGAGUCUUAAGGAGGAAGCCCACUUAAAUACUUGCUUCAAGCAUUUUAUACUUUUACAUACGAAUUUUCGCUGAUAGACAAGAAGGAACUCGCACCACUACAAGAGCUCAUUGAAUCAAUUGUCCCAUAUUAAGCAUCUCGUUUCUACUUAUGAAAUAAGUGUGUUUAGAUUUAGUUCAUCUGCAACUGAUUUUACUGUAACAAAUAACUCAACUGCUGGUUUUGUCCAAUAUUAAUGUUAAAUGUCAAAACAAGGUUUGCUUC